rnacentral:rRNA from 1 species
AUUGAACGCUGGCGGCAGGCUUAACACAUGCAAGUCGAGCGGGGUGAUGGUGCUUGCACUAUCACUUAGCGGCGGACGGGUGAGUAAUGCUUAGGAAUCUGCCUAUUAGUGGGGGACAACAUCUCGAAAGGGAUGCUAAUACCGCAUACGUCCUACGGGAGAAAGCAGGGGAUCACUUGUGACCUUGCGCUAAUAGAUGAGCCUAAGUCGGAUUAGCUAGUUGGUGGGGUAAAGGCCUACCAAGGCGACGAUCUGUAGCGGGUCGGAGAGGAUGAUCCGCCACACUGGGACUGAGACACGGCCCAGACUCCUACGGGAGGCAGCAGUGGGGAAUAUUGGACAAUGGGGGGAACCCUGAUCCAGCCAUGCCGCGUGCGUGAAGAAGGCCUUAUGGUUGUAAAGCACUUUAAGCGAGGAGGAGGCUCUUUUGGUUAAUACCCAAGAUGAGUGGACGUUACUCGCAGAAUAAGCACCGGCUAACUCUGUGCCAGCCGCCGCAGUAA